rnacentral:lncRNA from 1 species
CAAAUGGUUGAGGAGUAUUGACAACUGCUUGAAGGAGUACCGACCACUGUUAUCUGAGAGAAUCUCAGAUCCGGCGACGGGGAAGAUCAAACGAAGGAAAAGAUGGAUUUGAUGUAUUUCAGUAUGUUGAGACUUCCUUUAGCGGAUUUGAAGAACUCGUUAACCCUAUUCAAUGAACCUCAACUUUGUAAAAGACGAUGACAUGAACUCAACACAGAGCCUCUGAAACUCCUCGCCGCCAUGUAUUCCAUAAUCCGCC